AACGGGUGAAUAACGCGUAUGUCCCCUGCCUGGUCGCGGGGGAUAUCUAGUGAAAAAUAUCUCUAAUACCGCAUAAGAAUAUAUAUCGCGUGAUUUGUGCUUAAAGGGCGCUUGUGUCCCUCUACCAUAUGGACCUGCUGUGUAUUAUCUAUGUGGGGGGGAAACGGCUCCCCGGGGACAAUAUACAUACCACAUCUGAGAGGGAGAUCGGCCACUGUGGCAGUGACACACGGCCCACACUCCUACGGGAGGCAGCAAUGGGAAAUCUUCGGAUGUGGACAGAACUCAGACAGAACCACCCCGCGAGAGAGAAAAGGGUUCUCAGAUCAUAAAUCUCUGGUGUAAGAAAAAAAAGAGUGAGAGAGUGGAAAGCUCACUGUGUGACUGUCUCUUACCAGAGAGACACGGCUAUCUACGUGACAGCACGCGCGGAUAUACAUGUGUCGAGAGCGGUGUGGAUAUUUUUUGGGUAUAGCGAGAGCAGGCGCUGAGAUAUAUCUCAGAAGAAAAGUCUGUCUCAAAACAUAGCACGCUGUGGACUGUGUAAACGAGAGUGCGAGAGGGAGAGUGAAUUAUGUGUGUAGCUGUGAUGUGCAUAGAUAUAUAGAGCACGCUGUGGCGAGCGCGCUCUCUGGCGUGUCUGUGACGCAGACGCUCGAGCGCGUGAGCGCAACGAGUAUAUAUACUGUGAUAGUACACGCGUACGCGAGAGCG
rnacentral:rRNA from 1 species